CCUUCCUUGGAGUGGAAAUUGAUUCCGCCAACAUGAUCUUUCGGUUGCCGGAUGACAAGGUCGCGGUGCUGUUUCGAUGGGUCGACCUAGUCAAAGGGGCGAACAAGGUGCAGUUGAGGCAGAUGCAGGUGCUGCUGGGUCACCUGGCAUUCGCGUGUCGGGUUUUGCCGAUGGGACGGGCUUUUUGUCGCCGGCUCUCCUUGGCGACGGUGGGGAUUCAGGAGCCAUAUCAUUUUAUACGGGUUACGAGAAAGCUGAAAGCGGACUUACAAGUGUGGAGUUCCUUCUUGGAGAGGUACAACGGCCGGUCAUGUUGGGUCCGAGCGGCGGUUGGUAACUCGGUGUUGGAACUCUUCACAGAUGCGUCCGGCUCUUUC